rfam:Meiothermus ruber DSM 1279 genome.
CGCGGGGUGGAGCAGUCUGGUAGCUCGUCGGGCUCAUAACCCGAAGGUCAUAGGUUCAAAUCCUAUCCCCGCAA